rnacentral:rRNA from 1 species
UCGGCUUAGAGUUUGAUCAUGGCUCAGGACGAACGCUGGCGGCGUGCCUAAUACAUGCAAGUCGAACGCUCGAGUGCUUGCACUCAAGGAGUGGCGGACGGGUGAGUAACACGUGGGUAACCUGCCCAACAGAGGGGGAUAACACUUGGAAACAGGUGCUAAUACCGCAUAACAAUUGACCGCAUGGUUUAAUUUGAAAGACGUUCGUGUCACUGUUGGAUGGACCCGCGGUGCAUUAGCUAGUUGGUGAGGUAACGGCUCACCAAGGCCAUGAUGCAUAGCCGACCUGAGAGGGUGAUCGGCCACACUGGGACUGAGACACGGCCCAGACUCCUACGGGAGGCAGCAGUAGGGAAUCUUCGGCAAUGGACGAAAGUCUGACCGAGCAACGCCGCGUGAGUGAAGAAGGUUUUCGGAUCGUAAAACUCUGUUGUUAGAGAAGAACAAGUGAGAGGUAACUCUUGCCUUGACGGUAUCUAACCAGAAAGCCACGGCUAACUACGUGCCAGCAGCCGCGGUAAUACGUAGGUGGCAAGCGUUGUCCGGAUUUAUUGGGCGUAAAGCGAGCGCAGCGGUUUCUUAAGUCUGAUGUGAAAGCCCCCGGCUCAACCGGGGAGGGUCAUUGGAAACUGGGAGACUUGAGUGCAGAAGAGGAGAGUGGAAUUCCAUGUGUAGCGGUGAAAUGCGUAGAUAUAUGGAGGACACCAGUGGCGAAGGCGACUCUCUGGUCUGUACUGACGCUGAGGCUCGA